rnacentral:rRNA from 1 species
CCUACGGGUGGCUGCAGUUUCGAAUCAUUCACAAUGGGCGAAAGCCUGAUGGUGCGACGCCGCGUGAGGGAUGAAGGUCUUCGGAUUGUAAACCUCUGUCACUGGGGAGAAAACGCUUUGAGUAAAUAGUUCAAAGCCUGAUUUAACCCGGAGAGGAAGCAGUGGCUAACUCUGUGCCAGCAGCCGCGGUAAUACCGAGACUGCCAGCGUUAUUCGAGGUCGCGGGGCGUGUAGGGUGCGUCAGCUGUUAAAUCCCGAGGCUUAACCUCGGAACUGCGUCUGAAACUACUCGACUAGAGUACUGGAGAGGGAAACGGAAUUCACGGUGUAGCAGUGAAAUGCGUAGAUAUCGUGAGGAACACCAGAGGCGAAGGCGGUUUCCUGGACAGUUACUGACGCUCAGGCACGAAAGCAUGGGGAGCAAAAGGGAUUAGAUACCCUUGUAGUC